rnacentral:lncRNA from 1 species
AUGUGUGAAUGGCUGUGCAUGUGUUAUAUAUGUUAAUAAUUUUUAAAUUUUUUGUAUAUAUUUUAUUUAUAUAAUUGUUUUGAUUUCUAAAUGUAUAUAUAUGUAAUAUAAUUUAUUUAAAUUUUUAAAUCUUAUAUUUUAAAAUGUAUGUGUUUGUUUUUAUGUAUUUAUUAUUGUAUUUAUAGAAGUUAAUUUGGUAAUGUAUUGUAUUUAUAGAAUUUAAUUUUAUUUAUAUUUAUAGAAUUUAAUUUCAAAUGUAUUUCCUUUUUUGUUUUUCUAUUUAUUUUAUUUUAUUUAUUUUUGUCCUACCAGUUGUUUCAUAUAUAUUACCUAUAAAAAUGUCCAUUUCACAUCCGUUUUUGCAGAGAAAGUGAAUAAAGAAAGCACAAAAGACUGUACAAGUUCUCUCAGCCAUGGACAACAAGAUGAAAAACCUUCACAAGAAGUUGGCAGGAGCACUUCCAAGAAAGCGGUUCCAGGCUCUAGCACUAAAAAUGUUUUCACACGGCUGCUGAAAGUGGCUCAGCAUUACCUUUUGGAAUCGGGGAAGUACAGUGUGCCUGCCAAGAGGAGCCCUGCCCUCGUCCGCCUCCCCAAAACCAGAAUCUCCACCUCCUUCACUCAGGCACAGGGUCGAACCAGGAGGAGCAGUAGCAGGCGUUCCCAGAAUUCCACUCUGGGUGAGGUCAAGAAGGAGCAGCUCUUUUCUCAAGACUCAGACGCAGGUGCUGCUGAAGACAGCUCCAGCUCUUCAGCCUGGCGUGUGAGGUCAGGACCCGUGGGUAAAGUGGCUCGCAGAAGGAGCCGAGGUCAGUCUGGACGAGGAGGUUCCCUCCUGUUGAAGAAUCGCAGCUCUAGAUCUCAGCAAACAGCAGCUCAAACGUUUAUGCGGCCAGAGAACACCAAGAAUGAUGAAUGUCAAGAAACCCAAAGCAGGCAUGUGCCGCUGAACGAGAGAAACUUCAUCCCCUGCCCAAAGACAGCCAGUCAAGUGCGAGAAUCACAGCUCAUUUGAGCCCACGUGGGACUCGUCAUGAAACAAAGUGUGCUCACUUCAUAACUGCUCAAUGAAGCAUUGUGAUUUGACAAAGCAGGCCCUGCCUGACUCCUCCUUCACUGUCUCUGACCACAUGUUGCUGAUAUGCACUACCAACUUCACACAAGUCAGUGUUAAUGUAUGAAUGUAGGAUUUUCCAAAUCCAGUUUUUUUUCUGACUAUUCCAUAAAUAAUUUAUGGAAUGUCCAUAUUUUAAUGUAGCUUUUAUAGUCAUUUAAUAAAAGAUUAAUUCAUAAUAAACAUUCUUGUUGGCUUCUUGUCUUUUAUUUGUGAAGAUCUGUCUGUCAGUCAUUUUCCUUUUCUCUUUGUCUCUCUAUCCUUCCCCAAGAUGUUUCAAAC